rnacentral:rRNA from 1 species
AUCGAACGCUGGCGGCAGGCCUAACACAUGCAAGUCGAACGAGUGGCGGACGGGUGAGUAAUGUCUGGGAAACUGCCUGAUGGAGGGGGAUAACUACUGGAAAAGGUAGCUAAUACCGCAUACCCUCUGAUGUGCCCAGAUGGGAUUAGCUAGUAGGUGGUGUAUAGGCUAACCUGGGCGACGAUCCCUAGCUGGUCUGAGAGGGUGACCAGCCACUCUGGAACUGAGACACGGUCCAGACUCCUACGGGAGGCAGCAGUGGGGAAUAUUGCACAAUGGGCGCAAGCCGGAUGCAGCCAUGCCGGGUGUAGGAAGAAGGCCUUCGGGUUGUAAAGUACUUUCAGCGGGGAGGCGUUACCCGCAUAAGAAGCACCGGCUAACUCCGUGCCAGCAGCCGCGGUAAUUC